rnacentral:rRNA from 1 species
UACGUAGGGUGCAAGCGUUGUCCGGAAUUAUUGGGCGUAAAGAGCUCGUAGGCGGUCUGUCGCGUCGGAUGUGAAAAUCCAGGGCUCAACCCUGGACCUGCAUUCGAUACGGGCAGACUAGAGUUCGGCAGAGGAGACUGGAAUUCCUGGUGUAGCGGUGAAAUGCGCAGAUAUCAGGAGGAACACCGAUGGCGAAGGCGGGUCUCUGGGCCGAUACUGACGCUGAGGAGCGAAAGCAUGGGGAGCGAACAGG